rnacentral:tRNA from 1 species
GCCGGGAUGGCGGAAUCGGUAGACGCAACAGACUUAAAAUCUGUCGCCCCUAGGGGCGUGCGGGUUCAAGUCCCGCUCCCGGCACCA